GACGAACGCUGGCGGCGUGCUUAACACAUGCAAGUCGAGCGGUAAGGCCCUUUCGGGGGUACACGAGCGGCGAACGGGUGAGUAGCACGUGGGUGACCUGCCCUCAGCUCUGGGAUAAGCCCGGGAAACUGGGUCUAAUACCGGAUAUGACUCCAUGACGCAUGUUGUGGGGUGGAAAGCCUUGUGCGGCUGAGGAUGGGCCCGCGGCCUAUCAGCUUGUUGGUGGGGUGAGGCCUACCAAGGCGACGACGGGUAGCCGGCCUGAGAGGCGACCGGCCACACUGGGACUGAGAUACGGCCCAGACUCCUACGGGAGGCAGCAGUGGGGAAUCUUGCGCAAUGGGCGAAAGCCUGACGCAGCGACGCCGCGUGAGGGAUGACGGCCUGGUUGUAA
rnacentral:rRNA from 1 species